rnacentral:rRNA from 1 species
CACGCCGUAAACGAUGAAUGCUAGGUGUUGGUGGUCAAACCUCGGUGCCGAAGUUAACACAUUAAGCAUUCCGCCUGGGGAGUACGGUGGCAACACUGAAACUCAAAGGAAUUGACGGGGACCCGCACAAGCAGCGGAGCAUGUGGUUUAAUUCGAUGCAACGCGAAGAACCGUACCAGGGCUUGACAGAUAUGCGCUAGCACUAGAGAUAGUGGGUUCUCUUCGGAGACGUAUAUACAGGUGG